CCUGGCUCUGUCAUGUAAUUUUCGUCGGUCUGGUGCCGACCCUCCUGCUCCUUGUUCUGGGGGCGAGCGCUGUGGCCAUCACUAAGGGCAGGAAGAAACGCCAAGCAGGCAAUCCUGGCAAAAGCAUCAGCUCCUGGAGAAAGAAUUCAGAACACGACACCUACGCUCAGCUGGCGAUUGGUAACAACUGAUAUCGAAAGGCAGGGCGAAAGUUCUCCUCCGCGAACAUGGAAAGAUUCAGUCCUCUCCAUCCAAAGCCUCACCCAGAGCUUCCUCAGUAACAGACCAUGUGCGGUGGUAAUGAGGACCUGUGAUUAAUCUGCAGAUCCCUGUUUGACUGUAUACUGUCUGUUGCAAUUAAAUUGCA